GUGCUUUGCAAAGUGCAGGAUACGGAAGUAAAGACGUUGGUCAUGAAUCAUGCUCUCAUGAAAUUUACAACCUUGUAGCGAAGAGACAGUAAACACUUGUUCAGCAGGACAACUGCAAUUACAGGUAAUUCAGUGGGGCACUUAGAAAGGAGUGGCACUCUCCUCCUGGGAGAGGAGAGAACGCUUCCCAGGAUCUCAGUCUUGAGGAAAGAGGAGAGGAAGGGAAAGACUUUCUUGCAGGGGAACAGCAUUUACAGAGGCACGGGGCAGGACAUAGCAAAUCGUCUUCGGGAAAGUGGGCCCCAUACCAAGGGGCAGAGCUACAGGAAUAGACGCUUUGAUGAUUCUGCAGAGGAAAGGAUGGUUCAGAGCUGGGUAGUCAGAGAAAGUUCCCAGAGGAAGAUGGAAUCUGCUCAGGGCCUCCAAGCAAAGCCCCUGCCUGGAGGGCCUGAUUGGAAGGUAGCAGCAGUCCCUCGGCAGAGGAAGUGAGAGGCUGCACUGGCUUCUUUCCUGAAUGCUUGCAGUGUGGGCAUGCCUCAGCUUGGCUGAAGCCAAAGACGCUGUUGAGUAUGUGAGCAGAGGGUAACCAUGUUGGAGGAGAAGCAUCUGGCUGUGCAAUGGAGGGCCUUGGACGGCAGGUGCAUGAAUGCUGACCUGAUUCUCUGGGCAGUGAGGACCUCUGGAGUGAUUCUGAGCAGUGGAAUACUGCUCAGUGCAGUACUCCUGCACUGAGUGACCUGCAGCAUCUUGGUGUAUGUAUCAGUGUAAGGUCCAAGUGGGGACAGCUCACUAUGACAGCCGCUGUGAACCUAGUCUUCAAGCACCUCUUGGUCCAUGAGAAUCAGCCCUUGAGAAAAGUCUUAGCAACUGUACUCAUUCAGGGAGAGAGAGAGAUCCAUGCCUGCACUGGAGCAGGUGGGGAGUGGCCACACUCAGGAUUCUUGGAACAGGAAGGAGGAAUGAACAUGUGGCUGAGGGUGAAACAUGAUGAAGGCCAUGAGGAGGAGGCCAGCUUUGGAGACGGAGGGAGCCAUGUCCUUGGAUGCCGGGAGUGAAUGGCCUGGGGAAACCCUGCGUGUUUGGGCAGCAGCCUCUGGCCUCCUGGAAGUAGACGGUCAUGAUUUUCGGGUGAAACAAGGAGGCAAGGGCGUGAUUUCCUCAAGCCAUGCAGCGGGAAGUGGAGGGCUGAUGAGUGCCAUGAGUCAGGGGUGAGUUUUGCCAGGUGAGUCCUGGGGCAGCUGGCACUGUGGGAUCCUGCCAAGUGAGUGGAAGGGCUGGCCAUGGGUGAGAGACGGAAAAGGCGGGUGUAGGACAGCCCAAGUGCAACGCCAUUCACUGAGGCACUUUCUGAAGCACAGAUGGGGCCCACAUGCACAGAAG
rnacentral:lncRNA from 10 species